rnacentral:rRNA from 1 species
UACAGAGGGGGCAAGCGUUGUUCGGAAUUACUGGGCGUAAAGGGCGCGUAGGCGGCCUUCUAAGUCGAACGUGAAAUCCCUGGGCUCAACCCAGGAACUGCGUCCGAUACUGGAAGGCUUGAAUCCGGGAGAGGGAUGCGGAAUUCCAGGUGUAGCGGUGAAAUGCGUAGAUAUCGGGAGGAACAUCUGUGGCGAAGGCGACACCCUGGACCAGCACUGACACUGAGGCACGAAAGCGUGGGGAGCAAACAGG